CGAGGUGAACUAAUAAACAAGCAGGAAUGCGAGAAGAGACAGAGGCUUUACCACAGCAGUCUUAAAGUGUUCAUGUUCGAGUUCCGUUUUAAUGGAAAACUGUGGUGCGUUGAUGCUGCAAAAGAGGAUGGAUCACUUGGAAGACUUGUAAAUGAUGACCAUAUCAACCCUAACACCAAGAUGAAGUACUUCAGCGUGCAAGGAAAGCCCCAUCUAUGUUUGUUUGCAAUACGGGACAUAAGUCCAGGAGAGGAGAUCACCUAUAAUUAUGGUGAUUCUGACUGGCCAUGGAGGAGCAAGGAUCUCGAUGAGGAAAUGCCUCAGAAAAGUCCAGAGACCGAAAGUCCCCCAUCAACAAAAGAAGUUGUUGAACAGAUGACAAGUCACAAAAGCCAGAUUGAGUGGACUGUAAGUGACCUGAACCAGAC
ensembl:lncRNA